rnacentral:lncRNA from 1 species
GUAGACACCGCGCCACCCGCUCCGGGACGCCGCCCAGCGACAAGGCCGCGGGGUCAGCGUGUCUGUACCGGUGCUGCAACGGGAGGGUCGGGCGGCGACGCUCUCACUGCCGGGCCAGAAGGAGGCCUCCCGGCUCCCUCACGCUAGAAGGGAGCUGGUUACCAGAGGUUUUCAGAGACGCCAAAGUUUUGCCAGGUCAGCCCGGUGCCUGCGUGGCCCACUGCGGGACCUUUGCGCCCAGCCACCGCGCCACCCUACCCCUGUCCCGCCCCUGCCCCAGCCCGGCUGGCCAGGAAGGGACCUACUGGGAGAUACCUGCUCGGAACCCCAGGCUAAGGACGUACCUCCCUUGCUUGAAAGUGGGGGAAGGGGGUGCCUCUCUCCAUUACCGUGGUUAGGAAAGCAGGGUACUCAGGAUCCCGCCUCUCCCGUGCUCCCCACUUUCCCUGCCUUAAUCUUAUCAGCAGCUCCCUGAACUCCCCACUCUGGCCCCUUAUCUUGAGCUGCUUUACCUCUCUUCUCUGUCGUCAACCCCACUCUAAUGGCCUUCCCUGGUCGGGCUACCGGCUGCAUGUCUGACCCGUUCGGAGACUGUGAGCUCCCGAGGGCAGGAACCAGGUCUGCCUUCUUCCUGCUGCUGUCCUAGAGGUCCUGGGAGGUGCUCAAUCCUUGAAGGUGUGAAUGGAUGAAUGAAUGAGCACCCCGCCUCUCUCUCAUUUCUGGUCUAGGAAUCAGGAGUGUAGGUUCCUGUCUGGCUUCAGCACUGACUCUGGGAGACCUUGACCCAGUUCCAUUCCCUGGCAGGGUCUUCUUUCCUGUGAAAUGGAGCCAAUCGCUCCGCUGGCUGGACAAGUGCAGAGGAGGCCUCUUCCUGUAGCCAAGGAACUUGCCCCGGGCCUUCGGGGCCUUGGGCCCUCUUGGGCUCCAUAUCAGCUGACUGGGCCUGGCUGCCAGGAAGGGUGCUGGCUGCAGCCCCACCAGGAGCAGUAGCAGAGUGGACACACAGCCCAUAGUGGCUGAGCCGCCUCUGCAGUCCUGCUGGGGCCUUUGCUUGGGAGACACAAAGGCCCCUUGUCUAGCCUCCUGCGCCUAUUGUCUAAGCUGGGCCACGCACCUUCCAGGGACCUAAGUAUCCUCAUAGCCCGAGUUAUAGGGCCUAGGCCUUCAGGUUCCAGUGUGGGGAAGACCCUUUGGGCACUGGAACUCCAGCCAACCCUCUCUUUCUCUCCCCUCUUCCAAAACUUCAAACCUUAUACUGUCACUGCCAUUUAGCCCAGGAGAAACAAGUUUCUUUGACGCCAAGUUGAGGACCCAGGCUCGACCUUAGCCUUCAGCGGGCAAAUCUGGUUGGUGGCCUGCCCAGGGCUCUGCCCCUGCUCUGGCCCAAUUCCCUUACUUUACAGCUGAGGAAACUGCAUUCCUGAGACAUACAGCGUUUCAGCUACCACACAGGUGACUUAGUGAGGCUUGAGGAGCAGAGGAAGGGGCCUAGUCCUUGAACCCCAUAGCCUUGGGUUUAGAUUCCAGUCUUACCUCACCUGUCCUAUGACUCCUCUCUGAGCCUGAGUUUCCUCUUUUGCAAAAGGGAGUAAUACUAAUCUCUCACUUGCUGGCCUGUCUUAAAUUUUUUGAGAAAGGGCCUCACUCUGUCACCCAGGCCGUAGUGCAGUGGCAUGAUCACAGCACACUACAGUCUCUAUGUCCCAGGGCCAAGGGAUCCUCCCAUCUCAGCCUCCCAAGUAGCUGGGAAUACAGGCACAUGCCACCAUGCCGGGCUAAUUUGUAAAUUUUUUGUAGAGAUGGGAUCUCCCUGUGUUGACCAGGCUGGUCUCAAACUGCUGAGUCCAAGCAGUCCUCCUGCCUCGGCCUCCCAAAGUGCUGGGAUUCCAGGCAUGAGCCCCUGCACCCUAUCCUUAAAUUCUUUUUUCAUGGUUUUAUUCAUCAUCCCAAGCUGUCUGGGCUCAAGGCGUUAGUAUCCCAUGCAAUGAGGGCCUAGAAGUUUCGUCUCCUGACAUCCUCCCCAGGCAGUCCCAUCGCUGGGUUUCAGAGGCCAUCAAGCCCAGCAGGCUUCAAAUCCCCCAACAGAGUCCCCCUUACCUGGGGCUGCCUGGGGAACUCCCAUCCCACUUCAACUUGAGCACCUUUGCCUUUGUAUUUUUAUUUAUUUACAUUUCCUGGUAAGAAUUUGUUGCAAGCACAUGAAAGAUUUUGUGGCUGAAGUAAUGUAAAACCAUUGAUCAAACCGGAAAUUGAGACACAGCCAGCGUCACACAACAGGCCAUCUGAAAGGCUGGAAUAGCAUCGAGGGAGUCUCCCUGGAACCAAGCAGCCAAGGCAGGCUAAUGGUGAAGGCCCAGGCACAGUAAUGGUCCCCUGGAGGUGGGUAAUGGAACCAUGGGGGCGGGAGGAGGGUUCCAUUAGCAGUAGCAGAUCAGGAGGGGAAGGGCAAAGUUCCAGCCUCAGCUUCUCCCAUGUAUUAGGAGGCUUCCUGUCUCUCCAGCCCUGAGGAGGUAUUUGGCUCAUUCAGGCCUUUUCAUCCUCCUUCUCUCAACUUCUCUCAUUGCCCCUGGGAAAACUUGCUCUGAAAAUGCAUGCUGGGGAUGAAGCCUCUGCCCUGGCCCAGGCUCCAAUCCCCCCUUCCCAGGGUACAGUGGUGUCUCUGUUGCCCCUUGAUGCCAUACCCUGCCUUACACUCUCUGGUGGCUCCACCAUCCUCUGGAUAAAGCCUAGCUCUCUAGCCUGCCACUCCAGCCUCCCUGCCUCUCUGCCUCACCUCUCACCUCUGACCAGCCUCCUGUUGCCUCUUGCUGCUCCCUCUGCCCACAGUGCCCCCUGCUUCUGGCUCCCCACCAUGGGUCCUCGAAGACCCAGGCCAGGUGCCCCACCACUUACCAUGCUGUUAUUGCUAUCACUGCCUGUCUCCCCCUCUAACAGGGAUCUCUCUGAGAGCAGAGCCAGGUUCCAUUCUGUUCACAAUUAAAUGGCCAACACCUAGCACUGUCCCUGAAUAAUUUUUCUUUUUUUUUCUUUGAGAUGGAGUCCUGCUCUGUCAUCCAUGCUGGAGUGCAGUGGCGUGAUCUCAGCUCACUGCAACCUCCGCCUCCUGGGUUCAAGUGAUUCUCCUGCCUCAGCCUCCCAAGUAGCUGGGAUUACAAGUGUGCACCAUCACACCCUGCUGAUUUUUGUAUUUUUAGUAGAGACAGGGUUUCACCAUGUUGGCCAGGCUGUUCUUGAACUCCUGGCCUAAAGCGAUCCACCCGCCUUGGCCUCCCAAAGUCCUGGGAUUACAGGCGUGAGCCACCGUACCUGACCCCUGUCCCUGAACAUUUGUCACAAUAUAUUAUGAGUGAAUGAGUAAGAACUCUAUUUUAGUGGUCACCUUCUUUGUGCUAGUCAUUAAGUUUAAGGUAUCUCGCUUAAUAUUCUCCAGAACCCUGUGAGAUAGGCAUUAUUUUAUUCUCAUGUGACAUGUAGAGAAACAGGUUCAGAAAGGGGAAGCGAAAGUCCAAAGCAGUGAAUCUGCGGUGGGUCUCCUGGCCCCAGAAUUGCAGCCUGAUGGGAAGGAAGGCCCUGCUGAGUUCCCAGAGUUAUGGCUGGGUCAUGGCAUUGGGACCCACACUGGCAGCUCCAGUUACACAGGGCUGGGCUGGCUCUAGCAGCCUUGUCUUACUUGCUCCCUGAACUGCUGCAUUGACCUGCACCAUCCUCCCUUCCCUUGCCAGCCGAGAACUGUGCUCCUCAGGUUUCCUGGGCAGGGUCCAGGGCUCUGAUGCCAAACGCAGCCUGGAAACUCUAGCUCUCAGCAUGCCAGGAUGCGGGCACCCAAGUGAGGCCGCCUGGGAUGCAGGAAGCUUAGUCCAGGCCUGGGCAUGCCUCUGUUCCAUCUCCCCUCAAGCAGGACCAGCUACUUAAUCUGCGGGACCCAGAGCAGAAUGAAAAUGUGGGCCCCUCAUUCAAAAAUUUAAAAUUUCCAACAAAAGAAUGAAAAAAUAAGAAAAAAUUAAGAAUUUCAAGAUGGUGAUAGCAGAGUAUUUAACACUUCAAAUCAUGACCCUUACUGUCCAGGUCACAUGCCCACAAAGUCAGCCCUGUCGUCAGGCCUUGGUUUCCUUGUCUGUCAAGUGGGAGAAUGGUAGCCACUGGCCAAAAGGGUGAGGGUGAGAAUGAGGUGGGAGCUGGUGGUAAGAGGUCCAGUGAACAGCAUGAGGAUGAGAUUCACCUCUUGAUAUUUUAUUUGCCUAGUUGUACUAUAUACGUAAGUAACACACAUAUAUAAUAUUGAAAAAUAAUUUUCUCUUUAUUUCUUCUUCCUCCCUUCCUUCCUUCCUUUCUUUCAUUCUUUCGUUUCCUUCCUUCCUUCCUUUUUUUCUUUUCUUUUGUUUUCUUCUCUCUUUCUUUCUUUCUGCCUGCCUGCCUUCCUUCCUUCUUUCUUUUCUUCCUUUCUUCCUUUCUUUCUUUUUCUUCCUUCCUUCCUUCCUUCCUUCCUUUCUUUCUUUCUUUUUCUUUCUUUCUUUCUUUUUCUUUCUUUCUCUCCUCUUUUUUGAGACAGGGUCUUGCUCUGUUGCCCAGCCCAGCUCAUUGCAACCUCGGCUUCCCAGGCUCAGGUGAUCCUCCCAGCUCAGCCUCCCAGCUGGGACUACAGGCUGGUGCCACCACACUCAGCUGAUUUUUUAUAUUUUUAGUAGAGAUGGGGUUUCACCAUAUUGCCCAGGCUGGUCUUGAACUCCUAGGCUUAAGCAAUCUGCUUGCCUCAGCCUCCUAAAGUGCUGGGAUUAUAGGCAUGAGUCACUGCGUCCAGCCUCAGUAUUUCUUUUUCACUUAUAUAACCCAGCAGGCUGAAAAUGAUGUGUCUCCCACUACUUUUUUGUUUAUAUCAACCUCUCCUUCUAUUGCUAUUUCAUCUAUUUUGAUCCUCUGUUAUUCAAUAUAUAAAAGUACAUCCUCACUAUGGCUUACAUAUUUUUAUAGAUAAAAGUGUCCCCUUUUUGUCCCAUCUAAUGCUUUUAGCCAUAUUUUAAAAUAUUUCUUACAUCACUACUACCAUCCCCUGCUUUAUUUCAUUUGCAUUUAGCCAGCAUAGCUUUGUCUGUGCUUCCAAAUGUAAACUUGUUGUGUCAUUUAACUUUUCUAUUUAAAAUUUGGAAUGAGUAAUAUAUGGUUCAAAAAUGUUAUAGUAUAGGAAAAAAAGAUAUUCAGAGAAAUGUCUCCCUCCAUCCCCCAUCAUUCAGUUGCCUGAUUUCCACUGCUCCCUUCACUCUUAACCUGGAAAGUGUUUUUGUUAGUUUAUUGCGUAUCCUUGAGUUCCUUUGUGUGAAUACAAACAUUUCCACUUAUUUUCCUUUUUAAUUUUUAUUUAUUUUUAAUUUUUUUUAACAUGGAGUCUCGCUCUCUCACCCAGGCUGGAGUGCAGUGGCGUGAUCUUGGCUCCCUGCAGCCUCCACCCUCCAGGUUCAAGCGAUUCUUGUGCCUCAGCCUCUCAAGUAGCUGGGACUACAGGCUUGCACCACCAUGCCUGGCUAAUUUUUUGUAUAUAUUUUUUUCAGUAGAGACAGGGUUUCACCAUGUUGGCCAGGCUGGUUUCAAACUCCUGACCUCAAGUGAUCCAUCUGCCUCAGCUUCCCUCAUUUUCCUUUUUGAAAAAACACAAAAGAGUAUCAUAAAGAUACACACUGACCCUUGCAUGUUAUCACUUAACAGUGUAUCUUGGAGAUCUUUCCAAGUCAGUACAUUGGAAGCUUCUUCAUUCUUUAUAAGGGCCGCAUAGUAUCCCAUUGUAUAGUCAUACCAUAAUGUAUUUAACCAGUCCUCUGUUGGUGGACAUUUGGGUUGUUGCCAAUUUUUUGCUAGUACAAACAAUGCUGCAAUGAAUAGCCUUGUACAUAUUUUUUUGCUUGGGUGUAAAUAUAUGUAGGAAAAUUUCACAGAAACUUAUUACUCGAUCAAAAGGAUUGUGCAUUUGAAGAUGUGAUAACUGUUGUCAAAUUGUCAGCCACCGAGAUUGUAUUCAUUUACCCUUCCACCAGCAGUGUAUGGGAGUGCCUGUAUCUCCAUAGCCUCAUCAACACUGUGAUAUCAAACUUUUGGAUUUUUGCCAGUCUGAUAGGUGAAAAGUCAUGUCUCAGUGUAGUUUUAAUUUGUCAGGUUUUUUUUUUUGUUUUGAGUGCAUAUCUUCAUAACAAAAGUAUAAUUUAUGAUCCAUUUCCAUUUCCUUUUCCAUUACAGUCAUGAGUUGCUUAAAGACUGGGAUGCUUUCUAAGAAACGUGUCACUUUGCGAUUUCAUCAUUGUGUGAACGUGAACACAAACCCAGAUGGUAUAGCCUACUACACACCUAGGCUAUAUGGUAUAGCCUAUUGCUCCUAGGCCACAAACUUGUACCUGUACUGAAUACUAGAGGCAAUUGUAAUACAAUGAAAAUCAUUUCUGAGAUAAUAAACUCUUCAUCUGAACCUUCGGGACAAUUUUCUUCCUGCCGGUGCUGUGAGAUCUUCUCACAGAUUCCAUAUUGAUUGUUUUUGUUCACUCUCUCUUGAUCAGGCGGAAAUAAAGCCAGGCUAAGGACUGCCCCCUGAUCCUUUCAACCUUAUGCAGUAAAGCUCAAUAAUUGUGGAAGUCUCAGUUCCACCAUUGGACAGCCAGUGUAGACACAGAAAAAGAAGCUGACCGGGGUCGAUUAGGGGAAUUUUCAUCAUCAUAUCAUGGCACUUGAACAGCACUCUGUGUAUGUAAAUUCAUGUAUUAUGUGUGUGCAUUUGUGUAUAUAUAUAUACACUAAAUACAUAUGUGCUAAAUUUAUGCACACACAUUAAUUUAGUUCUCACAACAUUUCUGUAAACAGUACUGUAAACAGUACAACAUUCCUGUAAAUAGUACUUUUACUGUUUCCAUUUUACAGAUGACCAAGGUGAGGCACAGAGAGGUUAUAUAACUUGUCCAAGCUCACACAGCUAAAAUCUGGUGGAACCAUAACUACCUACAUGAUCUGAUCCCAGAAUCCAUUCCCUCAAUCAUUCUGACCGGCUUGGAAGAUAAUUUCUGUGUUGUUAAGCCAUGACCAAACAUCCAUCUGGUCACUGCUGCCCCUGAGUCUCUGAGACUGGUGUAGGCAGUGGGGAUUAGUCUCUCUUAUCUACUUUGGAACCUUCGGUUCUUCAUUCAUUAAUUCAUUUAAUCCUCUGAUUCAUUCAAUAAAUAUGUAUUGAGUGCCUACUAUGUGUCAAGUCCUGUGCCGGGUGCCAGAGAUACCAAGAUAAAUUAGAUAUGGUCUUUGUCCUUAAAGGCCUUGAAAGGUGGGGGAUAAGACAUGGUCAGUUAACGGCACAGAUGACACAUGCUGUUCUGUUCCAAAGGGAGUAGCAGGUGGUGUGUUGUCUAAGAAUGUGUUUCUCAAUCUGGCCCCAUCUACCAUCUGGUUAGCGCAAUUUCUCCCUUGCACUUUACCCUGUGAUCUUCUCUUAUCUUUAGUUUCUAAAGCAUCACUGCAAGCUUUUGGAUUUCUGCAUAUCUUCUUGAGCAUUUUCACAGGAUAUGGAGAUUAGUCUCAUCAGUCAUAUCUGCUGUCCUUUUUUUAUCAUCCCAGGAAAGUGUCCUUGUUCCUGUAAGUAAUGGGAAGCCAGGGAAGGAUUCAGAGUAGGAUAGAUGGGCACUUUAGAAUGACCACUCCAGCUAUAAUGUGGAAAAUAGACUGAAUGGUGGAGGUAAGAUAAGCAGCCCAGUCAGAAAACUGCUCCAGUGCCCAGGUGGAAUUAUCUGAGCAAAGACUGCGGCUGGGGGAGACAGGAGGGUAUGGAUUCAAUGAGUAUCAAGCAAAUGGAAUCAAAGGGACUAAGUAAUUCAAUCAACAGUGUUUAAUUAGCACCUGUUAAGUGCCAGGCACUGUGCCAGGUGCCCAGAAUACAGCAGGGAACAAGAUAGACACAGCCUCUGCCUUCAUUGCAUCUAGAUGGGGAAAUGGACAAUUGGAGCCUUUACAAUAAAAGAUGAUAAACAAUGCAACAGAGGACAUCAGGGCACUGCAGGAAAACAGAAGGGGGCACACGAGGGGGCGUGAGGGAAGAGUCCGGGCUGAUGCCUGGAUUUCUGCCUUGGCUGCAGGAGUAUAUGAUGGGGCCAUCGUCUGAGCCAGAGAAUCCAGGAGGGCAGAACCCUAUGGACGUCUCUCUGGGUCCCCCCAAGCCCAGGCCAGGGCAGGAGCAGGGGAGGUGGUGAGCAGAGACUGUUGAAUGAAUGGAUAAAUGAAUGUGGGCAUGCGAAUACUCCCCAGCCCUCAGCCCGGCCCUGAAAGAGGAAGAUGGGGAGUGGUCCUGAAAGAAACUAGAAGUUUCAGGAAGCCCAGUGGUUACUCAACAACCACAAACUGUCAGCCUCUUCCCAGUUACCCAACGGGCCAUAUGAGGCAGCCGUGACGCUCCUGAUGUCCAGCAGGACAAGCCGGGCUGCCCAUGACUCUGUAUCUGGGGCCUGGAUAGCGGGCAGACUCAGCAUACCCCUAGCUGUUCUGAGGCCACCAGUGUGGGCCCCAAAGGCUAUUGGAGACCUUCCUGGAACUGGCAGGGAAGGAAGAAUUAGCCCUCCAAAUUCCCUGGGCAUGUGUUCCUAGAGUUGGGACCCUUCCUCUGGCUCCUGCAUUCUUGAAGUGUCCCCCUGCCUCAGCACCAAGCCUCCUGGGCUGGGCCUGGGUCUGUUUGCCUCUAUCCAAAAGCAGAAAUUGAUAAUUAUCUUCUGUGUGCCCAGUGCCCAGCUUGGACAACCCCUUCCCCCCAGCACAUGAUAUAAAAUUUCUCUUCUUUCUCAUUUUACUUUUUUUGUUUGUUUGUUUUGAGACAGGAUCUCUCUCUGUCAUCCAAGCUGGAGUACAGUGGUGUGAUAAUGCCUCACUGAAGCCUUAACCUCCUGGCCUCAAGUGAUCCUCCCACCCCAGCCUCCCAUGUAGCUGGGACUACAGGUGUGCCCCACCAUGCCCAGCUAAUUUUUCUAUUUAUUUUUUUGUAGAGAUGGGUUUUUGCCAUCUUGCCAGGCUAGUCUCAGAUUCCUGGGUUCAAGCAAUCUGCCCCCCCUCAGCAUCCCUAAGUCCUGAAAUUACAGGCAUGAGCCUCUGUGCCCUGCCAGGAAAUGUUUCUUUAGUUCAGAGAGAGGUGUACCCUAAGCCCAGGGGCCAGGCUCCCCCACCCUCAGGAGAAGGAAGGUUCAUCGGGAGCCACAUAAACACCAUGUCGUUGGCAUGUGGCCAGGAUACCCAUGGUUACACCAUGAGUGGGUGGGCCUAGGCUCUGACAGCCUCUGACCCAGGGUGGGGAAGGCACCAACCCACUGCCCCGCCUCUACCCCUGUCCGCUGUCCAUAUCUGAGUGUCCUGAAAUGGGAGAAUCUUUGAAUCUAAAGGAUAGAAAGGCCCUCUGUGGUCUUGUUGUCCACCUGCCCUUUUUUUUCUGUCUUUCUGGUCCAUUCAUUCUCCUUAAUAAUUAUUUACCACCCCUCAAAAAAUUGUCUGCAUUCCUAUCUUCUCCCUCCCCUAUGAAAAGGAUAUAUGAGCUUCUGUACCCCAUCGGGGGCUUGGAAUCGCCACUCGAUAGUUCUCCCUCAUGCACAUUAAUGAAUGUGUCUGCCUUUUCUCCUAUUCAUCUGCCUUUGGUCAGUUGAUGUUUCAGCAAAUAUUUAGAGGGCAAAGGGGAAGUUUUCCCUUGGCCCCUAAAGUCGCUGGCCAGGUGUUUGCCAUCAGCAUGGGAUUACAUGGAACUGGCAGGGAAAGACUUCUGUGGCUUCUUUGGCUCCUGUCGCUGCUAGUAGGUUGCAAAAGGGCCUAAUGGCCCCUGGUAUAAAUGCAGGUGCAUUUGCGUGUGUGUGUGUGUAUGUGUGUGUAUGUUUAGCUUGUGUUUAUUUUAUCCAUAGAUGUUUAUAUUAGUAUAUAUUACUUUAUAUAGUUAUAUAUAUACAUAUAUAAUAGCGAAAUGUAUAAGUAUACAUAAAUGGAUAUUUUAUGUGUAUGUGUGUGUGUAUACAUAUAUACAUUUCUUUAUUUAUGUUUUAUUAUUAUUUUUCUUGAGAUGGGAGUCUUGCUCUGUCACCCAGACUGGAGUGCAGUGGCACGAUCUCAGCUCACUGCAACCUCCACCUCCCAGGUUCAAGUGAUUUUCCUGCCUCAGCCUCCUGAGUAGCUGGGAUUAUAGGCACGCACCACCACGCCUGGCUAAUUUUUGUAUUUUUAGUAGAGACGGGUUUCACCAUGUUGGUCAGGCUGGUCUCGAACUCCUAACCUCAUGAUUCGCCCUCCUUGGCCUCCCAAAGUGCUGGGAUCACAGGCGUGAGUCACUGCGCCUGGUCACAUACGUACAUUUCUUUUUCUUCUCACAUAUAUGGGGAAAUGCCACCAGAUUGGCAGACGGUGCUACAAAUUUAUAUGUAUAAAUAUCUAGAUUUUAAUUUUUAUUUAUUUAUCUAUUGAUGCAUAUAAUUAUAUAUAUAACAUAUUUCUUAUAUACUUAAAAAUAGAAAUCUUUUAUUUGUGAGUGUAUAUAUAUUUCUAGUUUUGCCUUUCCUUGUGUCUGUACCCAUAAAACACUCAAGUGACAGGCAGCGCCACACCGUUUCUUGAGAGCAGGUUCCGAAACCCUGAGUCUCCACUGACCCUUGUUCCUCUGGUCUCAUGUGAGGACACAGCUGUACAUUGGACUCUAGAUGUCAGAGCCAUUUGUUCCCAUGGUGUCUCCAUGAGGUUGAGCCCCCACUCUAGGAGAAAACAGCUGUUUCGGGGUGAAUGGGGGCAGCAAAACCCAGAUGGACCUGGUAGUCUCAGGCGGUCUCACAUUCAAGUCCUAUCUGAUUGCAACUUCUCCGAGCUUCUAAGAAGAGAAGGGGCUCUUCUCGGCUUGUGCAGCCAUACACUUGUCAGCCUAGGCUGUGAUCUAAAGGCUGGCUCAAAAAAUCACUUUGCUCCUCCCUUCUGAAGAAUCCAAACUGACCUGUUCAGGCCCUGAUUAUAAUGCCCUCAGCAAUGGGAACUCACCUUAACCUGGGACCUGAGACCAGCCUUCUUCCCGAGACCUGAGACCUGAGACCAGUCACUUCCCCAAGGGUCUCCUCCCUAUCUCCAAGGCCACAGAGCCUUAUCUUCCCCCCACAGCCCAAAACAGUCCAGGAGAGCCAGGGGAAGGGGUGGGGAUGAGGCCCCUGCCAUCCCUGAGAGAUGAACAAGUGAGCAGUAGCUCCUUUCUCCAUGGCCACAGUUAAAGUGUCAUCACUUGCAAUCACUAAACCAUCAGUGGGGCCACUGAAAGGCAAGAGACACUGAAAGGCAAAAGACAGGCCAUUCUGCCAAGCAGGAAGCUGAAGACUGUUUCAAGGCAGUAUGCCAUGGUGGUUAAGAGCACCUCUGCUAGAUACUAGCUGCGUGACCCUUAAUCCUUCUGAAGUGGAUUUUCUUGCUGGUAAAAUGGGAUAAUGACGCCUGCCUGGUAGGUUAGUGUGUGGAUUAAAUGACUGUGUGUAAAGAAAGGGUCAGCCCAAUGCAUACUAGGGAGGUGUUCAGGGAAUCCAUGCUUUCCCAUGGCAGUGUCGGACGCUGUUGCCACACAGCCACACACACCACAUUGGCUGUGCCCAUCUUGUGGGCUCCCCACCCUUCAGGUCUUUUCCACCUGAGAGUGGGCUAGGGCUCUCCUUCCUGCCCUAGAAUCACUUAUUUGUCUGACU